rnacentral:snRNA from 1 species
GUGCUCGCUUCGGCAGCACAUAUACUAAAAUUGGAACGAUCCGGAGAAGAUUAUCACGGCCCCUGCACAAGGAUGUAGAGGUUUCAGUCCCUAAUUGU